AUUUAAAUAGUUUAGUUUAAAAUAUUGAUUUGUGGUGUCAAAGAUGUAAAAAUUUUACUUUAAAUA
rnacentral:tRNA from 1 species